rnacentral:rRNA from 1 species
GCCUAACACAUGCAAGUCGAACGGCAGCACGGGCUUCGGCCUGGUGGCGAGUGGCGAACGGGUGAGUAAUACAUCGGAACGUGCCCUGUAGUGGGGGAUAACUAGUCGAAAGAUUAGCUAAUACCGCAUACGACCUGAGGGUGAAAGCGGGGGACCGCAAGGCCUCGCGCUACAGGAGCGGCCGAUGUCUGAUUAGCUAGUUGGUGGGGUAAAGGCCUACCAAGGCGACGAUCCAUAGCUGGUCUGAGAGGAUGAUCAGCCACAUUGGGACUGAGACACGGCCCAAACUCCUACGGGAGGCAGCAGUGGGGAAUAUUGGACAAUGGGCGCAAGCCUGAUCCAGCCAUGCCGCGUGAGUGAUGAAGGCCCUAGGGUUGUAAAGCUCUUUCACCGGUGAAGAUAAUGACGGUAACCGGAGAAGAAGCCCCGGCUAACUUCGUGCCAGCGGCCGCGGUAAUACGUAGGGUGCGAGCGUUAAUCGGAAUUACUGGGCGUAAAGCGUGCGCAGGCGGUUUUGUAAGACAGGCGUGAAAUCCCCGAGCUCAACUUGGGAAUGGCGCUUGUGACUGCAAGGCUAGAGUAUGUCAGAGGGGGGUAGAAUUCCACGUGUAGCAGUGAAAUGCGUAGAGAUGUGGAGGAAUACCGAUGGCGAAGGCAGCCCCCUGGGACGUCACUGACGC